UACGUAGGGGGCAAGCGUUGUCCGGAAUCAUUGGGCGUAAAGAGCGUGUAGGCGGCCUGAUAAGUCGGCUGUGAAAGUCAAGGGCUCAACCCUUGAAUGCCGGCCGAUACUGUCAGGCUAGAAUCCGGAAGAGGCGAGUGGAAUUCCUGGUGUAGCGGUGAAAUGCGCAGAUAUCAGGAAGAACACCUAUGGCGAAGGCAGCACUCUGGGACGGUACUGACGCUGAGACGCGAAAGCGUGGGGAGCGAACAGG
rnacentral:rRNA from 1 species